CACGUAGGGCGCGAGCGUUGUCCGGAAUUAUUGGGCGUAAAGAGCUCGUAGGCGGCCUGUUGCGUCCGCUGUGAAAGCCCGGGGCUUAACCCCGGUCGGCAGUGGAUACGGGCAGGCUAGAGGUAGGUAGGGGAGAAUGGAAUUCCCGGUGUAGCGGUGAAAUGCGCAGAUAUCGGGAGGAACACCGGUGGCGAAGGCGGUUCUCUGGGCCUUACCUGACGCUGAGGAGCGAAAGCGUGGGGAGCGAACAGG
rnacentral:rRNA from 1 species